rnacentral:misc_RNA from 1 species
CGCACCUUGCGCCCUCUGGUAUUCCGGAGGGCAUGUCUGUCUGAGUGUCUUGUGCAAACCCCUCAAGCUUCUGCUUGGUUGAUGAGUGCUGUUGUCCCUUGAAAAGGGGCUCACUCAAAAGUCCCUGACGGCUCGAGAGGCUCGAGGCCAGUCCUGGCGUGAUAGAACAUCUGUUUUUGGCCGGGAUGGAUGCCUUGCCUGUCAUGAGUUGCCGUGGUGCCACACCCUUGGUGAAGCCCAAUUUAAGUGUUUGACCUCAGAUCAGGCAGGACUACCCGCUGAACUUAA